UACGAGUGCUUCGAGCGUUAUCCGGAAUCAUUGGGCGUAAAGCGCACGUAGGCGGACUCUUAAGUCGGUGGUGAAAUCCUGGAGCUCAACUCCAGAACUGCCUUCGAUACUGAGAGUCUCGAGUCCGAGAGAGGUGAGUGGAACUGCGAGUGUAGAGGUGAAAUUCGUAGAUAUUCGCAAGAACACCGGUGGCGAAGGCGGCCCUCUGGACCGGUACUGACGCUGAUGCGCGAAAGCGUGGGUAGCAAACGGG
rnacentral:rRNA from 1 species